rnacentral:lncRNA from 1 species
CAGAGCUUUGCAUGAGGGAGAUACAUUCCUUAAUUUAUAAUAAUUUCUAUCAUUUUGUAACAGUAAAUUUUAAUAACACAAAAAAUCCGUAUUUUCAUGCCAGUACCGAAGUACUGGCUACUGGGGUGGUGAUACCUUCGGGGACUAAUAGUCCACCAGCAGAGGCAUCGACCCAGUGGUAGUAAUAAAAUUAACGGUACUAAUUUUCUUGCACC